rnacentral:rRNA from 1 species
UAUGCAACCUACCUAUCAGAGGGGAAUAACCCGGCGAAAGUCGGACUAAUACCGCAUAAAACAGGGGCACCGCAUGGUGAUAUUUGUUAAAGAAAUUCGCUGAUAGAUGGGCAUGCGUUCCAUUAGGUAGUUGGUGAGGUAACGGCUCACCAAGCCGACGAUGGAUAGGGGAACUGAGAGGUUGGUCCUCCACACUGGUACUGAGACACGGACCAGACUCCUACGGGAGGCAGCAGUGAGGAAUAUUGGUCAAUGGGCGGGAGCCUGAACCAGCCAAGUCGCGUAGAAGGAAGAAGGAUCUAUGGUUCGUAAACUUCUUUGCAGGGGAAUAAAGUGCAGGACGUGUCCUGUUUUGUAUGUACCCUGAGAAUAAGGAUCGGCUAACUCCGUGCCAGCCGCCGC